rnacentral:rRNA from 1 species
UAAGGAAUAUUGGACAAUGGAGGAAACUCUGAUCCAGCCAUGCCGCGUGCAGGAUGAAUGCCCUAUGGGUUGUAAACUGCUUUUAUACAGGAAGAAACCUUUGUACGUGUACGAAGCUGACGGUACUGUAAGAAUAAGGAUCGGCUAACUCCGUGCCAGCAGCCGCGGUAAUACGGAGGAUCCAAGCGUUAUCCGGAAUUAUUGGGUUUAAAGGGUCCGUAGGUGGCUUAAUAAGUUAGAGGUGAAAUACUGCAGCUCAACUGUAGAACUGCCUUUAAAACUGUUAGGCUUGAGUUAUUGUGAAGUAGUUAGAAUGUGUAGUGUAGCGGUGAAAUGCAUAGAUAUUACACAGAAUACCGAUUGCGAAGGCAGAUUACUAACAAUUAACUGACACUGAGGGACGAAAGCGUGGGUAGCGAACAGG